AGCAUUGUUUAUCAGUUUCACUUUUGUAAUCUUAUUUGCUCAGCUUCUUAGGCAGGAACUCUGCCUCUCGGGAAGGGGGAGGGCUGGGUCUGCUUGCAUAGGAAAACCUUGAGACCAGGAAGUCUGCGUUGUAUAAAAGCUAUCCAGAACAAAGACCUCGUGCUCAGACUCUGGAGGCGGCUCCUCUGAGCCCGCACUGGUGCCAAGUAAACCUGGCUAUUCCACAUCUCUGAGUACCGCUUAUCUCUUUCUGCUGCCACGGUUUCUGCAACACUCCCAGUAAUUCAUGUUGAUGGAUUGAACUAAGCGAAUUUCCAAGAUUGUAAAUUGCAGACUGUGGAGAUGACAGGAGCAGGAGUCCUUCUGUGGAGGUUGGGGUAGGAGCUAAUUAAAUAGAGGGGAGAUAGAGAAUGGGACCCUAGGAAGUCAUUCCUCCUUUCUGUGCUUGUAAAGAUAGGCUUGGGCAGAACAAAAGAGAAAAAGGUAAAAAGGGAAGAGAGCAAGACAGUUUGUGGUGUCUCACAGGGAGGAAAAACAGAUUUCAGUUUACCUAAAAAACCAAAGCCUUUCCUUGCUUUCCUUCCAGAUCACUCUCCUCCCACCCGCUGCCUCCCUGAGGGCUGUAACCUCGCCUGUUUUUUCCUUGUUGUUGCCUCCCAGCAGAAAUCUGUGAGUGUACUGGUCGCAUCAUCUGCAGGGAAGGACAUGGCUUACGCUUUGAGUAACUACUCUUCCUUGCAUGUAGUUGAACCUGGGAAGGGAAUGGUGCCAUAUGGAGGAGACUGUGCCCCUCUUGUCACCUAUAUGCUAGGGGAUCUGUAUUGAAUGUAGGGUACUGCAUUAUCUUGAUCUCAGGAGACAAAGAUACUCCUUAAACUGGAGUUAGCCUUACCUUAAAGGAUGAGAUCAUUUCUUUGACCAGCAAUCUCUUUCUUAUCAAAUGUCCUCUCUCUGGUCCACAACAGAAUAGGAAGCCCAUAGGGAACCUUCUGGUUUUAACUUGGGCUUUUGACGUUGCCUUUGAAGAAUAUCCUGGAGCUUGAUCCAGAACAGCCAAAUAUAAGAUGACAAUUCCCAUAAGGGGACCAGCCAGGAGCUGGGAGAGCAGGAACUUUGGCAAGGAGUCUGUGAUAUUAUUCCAGGCAGAGAGAGAAAACAAUACACUAAUUUUUUUUUUUUUUCGAUCAAAGCAAACUGGAAAAUUUGGAACUGCACUGUUCUAAUUUGGAGUUCUUAGAAAAUAAUGGGCCUGGGAGUAUAGUCUGGGUGGCUUAAUUUGUUUCCAGCAAUACCUCUAAGGAAUGUUUCACACUGGUGGUUUAGUUUCUCUGCCCUGUGGCCCCAGCUACCUUUUUUUGUUUUCAUGCCUUUUGAUUCUCUUAUGUGUAACUGUUGUUUUUUGUUUUGUUUUGUUUUGUUUUGUUUUUUAAGGUGUAUGCAUCACUUAAAAAAAAAAAAACCUUAAUUUUUUUUUUUUUUUUGUCUUUUUAGGGCCACACCCACGGCAUAUGGAAGUUCCCAGACUAGGGGUUGAAUCAGCACUGCAGCUGCCAGUCUAAGGUACAGCCACAGCCACAUGCUGGAUCUGAGCCUCAUCUUCGACCUAGGCCACAGCUCAUGGCAACGCCAGAUCCUUAACGCAGUGAGCAAGGCCAGGGAUCUAACCUGCAUCCUCAUGGAUACCAGUUGGGUUCGUUACUGCUGAGCCACAACGGUAACUCCCAAAUUAUUUUUUUUAUUAUGCCAAGAAAACAACAUGAGAUCUACCUUUCUGACAAGUUUUUGAGUGCACACUACUGUUAGCUAUGGGCAUGAAGUUGUACAGCAGAUCUCUAGAACCUUUUUUUGUGUUUGUGUAACUGAAACUUUGUACCAUUGAACAGCAGUUCCCCAUUUCUUCCUCCUCCAAGACCUGGCAACUACCAUUCUAUUCUGUUUCUAUGAAUUUACUAUUUUAGAUACCUCAUAUAAGUGGAAUCAUUCAGUAUUUCUCCAUCUGUGUCAGGGUGAUUGCAUUUAGCAUAAUUUCCUCCGGGUUCACCCAUGUUGUCACAUAUACCAGGAUUUCCUUCUUAUUUAAGGCUGAAUAAUAUUCCAUUGUAUGUAUAAACCACAUUUUCUUUAUCCAUUCAUCUAUCGUGGACAUUUAAAUUGUUUCUAUAUCUUGUCUGUUGUGACUAAUGCUGCAAUAAACAUGAGAGAACAGAUAGCUCUUUGAGAUCC
ensembl:lncRNA